CACCGUCACCAGUUUCGAUCCAGGGCCAGAACUCUACUCAGCCAUGAGGAGAGGAGGAGCUUCCUGAUGCAACACCACCUCAGAUGAUGCAGGCCUCUGUAGUGCUACCCACCUCUUUCACUCAAAAACGUACAGGAGACUUGUAAUGUGACCCCCCUCACACAGGGACCUGGUCAUGUGACCUCCAUGACAGCAUCCUCAUUGCAGUCAUGUACCUCUGCACUCAGACUGUAAGCUUGGAGCCGACAACUAUGUUGGCGUGGCUGAUCCUGUCUCUGCCAACACUGGGCUUGUCCCUGAAGCAGCCCCCUGUGGUGGUGGUUGAGGAGGGGCAACCUGUGAGACUCCCCUGUGACCAGGAGAACACCCCCAAAUCUGUCAUGAUCUGGUACCAGCAGAGGGGAAGCACCUUGCAGCUGCUGCUGUGGUCCUACGGACAGAACGUGGAGGUGGAGGCCCAAGGUCUGAUCCAGGGCUUCAGGGGGGACAGGAAGGGCUCCUUGGUGUCAGAGAGAGAGAGAGAACGUCCAGGUCUCUGUUCCCCAGCCCUGCUCUGCCUCCUUCCUGCAUCCUCACUGCCUCCCCAUGCCUAG